rnacentral:misc_RNA from 1 species
GGUUGGUGCAAACAAAAGCUUGGUGCAAAUGCUAUACUUGCGGUAUCACUUGCUGUGUGCAAGGCAGGAGCUAUUGUUAAGAAGAUUCCUCUUUACCAGCACAUUGCCAACCUUGCUGGAAACAAGAACCUGGUGUUGCCUGUUCCUGCCUUCAAUGUUAUCAAUGGUGGUUCUCAUGCAGGAAACAAGCUUGCGAUGCAGGAGUUUAUGAUUCUUCCAGUUGGAGCUUCCACUUUCAAGGAGGCCAUGAAAAUGGGAGUGGAAGUAUAUCAUCAUCUGAAGGCCGUAAUUAAAAAGAAGUACGGUCAGGAUGCCACAAAUGUUGGCGAUGAGGGUGGUUUUGCUCCCAAUAUUCAGGAAAACAAGGAGGGUCUUGAACUAUUGAAGACAGCCAUUGCAAAGGCUGGAUACACUGGCAAGGUUGUCAUUGGGAUGGAUGUUGCCGCAUCCGAGUUCUACAAUGACAAGGACAAGACCUAUGAUCUCAAUUUCAAGGAGGAGAACAACGAUGGUUCCCAGAAAAUCUCAGGCGAUAGUUUGAAGAAUGUGUACAAAUCCUUUGUAGCGGAGUACCCGAUUGUCUCUAUUGAAGACCCAUUUGACCAGGAUGACUGGACCCAUUAUGCUAAGAUGACCGAAGAGAUUGGGGAGCAAGUGCAGAUUGUUGGUGAU